rnacentral:rRNA from 1 species
AUGGAAAUAGGUAGGCGUGAAGUCGACGCAGCGGCUGGAGAUCACUGCGCCAGCGGGCUGGGUGAGAUCGAGGACGAGAGCACCUCGGCAUGGUCCACAACAAUGGUGAGAACACCAACAACAGUGACGAGGAUGGCAUUCCAUAGCUCGCACGACGUGGACUCCUGGUUGCUGCGUGCGCCACCACCAAGGCUGCGAGGAGGAGAGAUGGAACCGGCACAGGCGCGAGAGAGGCCAUGGGGGCCGGGCGAUGGGGACUCCAGCGACCUCGGCUACACGGUUUGGAAACCACACGAGGGGGUGAUUGUUAUUGUUAGAAUAAAUUCGAGGCACUCCGUUGAUCAUCCGAGGACCAAGCAAUCACACGAGCACGACACCGAGAUUUGUUAA